rnacentral:rRNA from 1 species
UACGUAGGGUGCGAGCGUUGUCCGGAAUUAUUGGGCGUAAAGAGCUCGUAGGCGGCCUGUUGCGUCCGCUGUGAAAUCCCGGGGCUUAACCCCGGGCUUGCAGUGGAUACGGGCAGGCUGGAGGCAGGCAGGGGAGAACGGAAUUCCCGGUGUAGCGGUGAAAUGCGCAGAUAUCGGGAGGAACACCCGUGGCGAAGGCGGCUCUCUGGGACGGUACUGACGCUGAGACGCGAAAGCGUGGGGAGCGAACAGG